AGGGCUAUAGCUCAGUGGCAGAGAAUCUGUUUUGCAUGCAGAAGGCCACAGCUUUGAUUCCUGGCAUCUCUG